rnacentral:rRNA from 1 species
GAGGAAGCUAGUUUCACAGAUUCAGCCAUGCAAGUAGUAUGUAUGUAUACACAAGGCUCAGUAUCGAGUAUAGCUUUGCUCUCCAAGAUGUGAUACUUUCAGGAAACAGAAAAUAAAGCAUCUAUCUUCUAAAGAACUUUAGAGGAGAGGAGAAGAAGCGACUCACCUAUCAGUUAGUAGGUAUGGUAAGGGCAUACCUAGACGAAGACGGGUACGGGGAAGGCAACUUCGAUUCCGGAGAGGGCGCAUUUAGAGAUGGCGACCAGUUCUAAGGAGUGCAGCAGGCUCGAAACUUACCGAAUUAUAGAUUAGAGGUAGUGAUGAAACGUUUAUAUAAAGAUACUGGUAAAGCAAGUAUUAGCAACUGGAGGGUAAGUCUGGUGCCAGCAGCCGCGG